rnacentral:ncRNA from 1 species
UUUCCCUGUAGUUAGAAGCUGUGUGUUAAGCAUGGACAGCUAUUAAUUUGAAAAUUAACUGCACUCCUAAACUUAGGACUUCUAGUAAGCAGGGAAGGGAUCUCUAAGAUGCCCUCCAUUGGAGGGCAAGUCUGGUGCCAGCAGCCGCGGUAAUUCCAGCUCCAAUAGCGUAUCUUAAAGUUGCUGCAGUUAGAAAGCUCGUAGUUGGAUCUUGGGAUGAAGCUGGCGGUGUGCUGCGAGGUGAGCCACCACCUGUCCCAGCCCCUGCCUCUUGGCACCCCCUUCAUGCUCUUAGCUGAGCGUCCCACAGGGCCCAAAGCAUUUACUUUGACAAAAUUAGAGUGUUCAAAGCAGGCCGGCCGCCAGCAUACUGCAGCUAGGAAUAAUGGAAUAGGACUCCAGUUCUAUUUUGUUGGGUUUUGGAAAUGGGGCCAUGAUUAAGAGGUAAAGGAAGAGAAGGAUGCGGUGGAAUAAUGCAGGGAAGAGGUCCAGUCCUCUUGUGCCAGCAAGUCAUAUACUUGAACUGUGGAGCAAAG